GGCGGGGGAUGCAAGCGUUAUCCGGAAGCACUGGGCGUAAAGCGUCUGUAGGUGGUGAUGCAAGUCACUGGUGCAAAACUCUGGCUCAACCAGAGGAAAGCCAGUGAAACUGCAUGACUAGAGUGUGGGAGAGGUAGAAGGAAUUCCCUGAGUAGCGGUGAAAUGCGUAGAUACAGGGAAGAACACCGGAGGCGAAAGCGUUCUACUGGAACACAACUGACACUGAGAGACGAAAGCUAGGGGAGCGAAUGGG
rnacentral:rRNA from 1 species